rnacentral:rRNA from 1 species
CUAGAUAUAUAUAAACAUGACAGUCAAUUUUUUCGAGAGUUUGAUCCUGGCUCAGGAUGAACGCUGGCUGUGUGCCUAAUACAUGCAUGUCGAGCGAUGAUAGCAAUAUCAUAGCGGCGAAUGGGUGAGUAACACGUACUCAACGUACCUUUUAGAUUGGGAUAGCGGAUGGAAACAUCCGAUAAUACMGAAUACUUAUUAUUUUUGCAUGAAAGUAAUAUAAAAGGAAGCGUUUUGCUUCGCUAGAAGAUCGGAGUGCGCAACAUUAGCUAGUUGGUGAGGUAACGGCCCACCAAGGCGAUGAUGUUUAGCGGGGUUGAGAGAUUGAUCCGCCACACUGGGACUGAGAUACGGCCCAGACUCCUACGGGAGGCAGCAGUAGGGAAUAUUCCACAAUGGACGAAAGUCUGAUGGAGCGACACAGCGUGCAGGAUGAAKGCCCUAUGGGUUGUAAACUGCUGUGGUUAGGGAAGAAAAAGUAGCGUAGGAAAUGACGCUACCUUGACGGUACCUGAUUAGAAAGCAACGGCUAACUAUGUGCCAGCAGCCGCGGUAAUACAUAGGUUGCAAGCGUUAUCCGAAAUUAUUGGGCGUAAAGCGUCUGUAGGUUGUUUGUUAAGUCUGGCGUUAAAUUUUGGGGCUCAACCCCAAAACGCGUUGGAUACUGGCAGACUAGAGUUAUGUAGAGGUUAGCGGAAUUCCUUGUGAAGCGGUGAAAUGCGUAGAUAAAGGAAGAACAUCAAUAUGGCGAAGGCAGCUAACUGGGCAUACACUGACACUGAGAGACGAAAGCGUGGGGAGCAAACAGGAUUAGAUACCCUGGUAGUCCACGCCCUAAACGAUGAUCAUUAGUUGAUGGGGAACUCAUCGACGCAGCUAACGCAUUAAAUGAUCCGCCUGAGUAGUACGUUCGCAAGAAUAAAACUUAAAGGAAUUGACGGGGAUCCGCACAAGCGGUGGAGCAUGUGGUUUAAUUUGAAGAUACGCGUAGAACCUUACCCACUCUUGACAUCUUCUGCAAAGCUAUGGAGACAUAGUGGAGGUUAACAGAAUGACAGAUGGUGCAUGGUUGUCGUCAGCUCGUGUCGUGAGAUGUUCGGUUAAGUCCUUCAACGAGCGCAACCCUUAUCCUUAGUUACUACCAUUUAGUUGAGCACUCUAAGGAGACUGCCCGAGUAAUCGGGAGGAAGGUGGGGACGACGUCAAAUCAUCAUGCCUCUUACGAGUGGGGCUACACACGUGCUACAAUGGACGGUACAAAGAGAAGCGAAGUGGUGACAUGGAGCAAACCUCAAAAAACCGUUCUCAGUUCGGAUUGAAGUCUGCAACUCGACUUCAUGAAGUCGGAAUCGCUAGUAAUCGUAGAUCAGCUACGCUACGGUGAAUACGUUCUCGGGUCUUGUACACACCGCCCGUCAAACCAUGGGAGCUGGUAAUGCCCGAAGUCGGUUUAUUAAGAAACUGCCUAAGGCAGGACUGGUGACUGGGGUUAAGUCGUAACAAGGUAUCCCUACGAGAACGUGGGGAUGGAUUACCUCCUUUCUA